AAAGCCUCUUGAUUGGUCUCCGCAGUACAUUCGCUUGCCUGGCUCGUUUUUGUCGAUAUUAUCCACUGUUGCAAUGGAGAACUUUGCGUGAGGUAUCUCACUGUUCAUUCCGAGCUCUGAUUUCUUAUCAAUGAUGGCCUUUUGAUAUCGCUUGUAGGAGUCGACACCUGCUGUUGCGCCGACUCAAGCUAGUACUCGCAUGAGCUCGCUGGAAUUGCUAUGUGCAUCCACGGCCACAAAGUCCGAAAGAACAAGCUGGAAAGGUGUGUGCUGGGUUUCAUUUUGUGCUCUGUGUUUCAGGGUCUCGGAUCGUGCAACGGCGAGGGAAUGGUAUAAGCACAGAACUGUGUCACACCAUGUACGGUACAGGAGCGUACCUCGUUUCUUACUGGUACCAUAUGACCCAUGGCUAAGAUGAGCGCCAAGCUUCAAAAAGGCUGGACAGUAGCCACCGGUUGUUGCAGUUGAUGGAUGGUAAAGAAGAGGUGAAGAAAUCAGCAGCCGUUGCGAGAAGAAGAGAACGGUUCUCGAGGAAUGCAAGACAGACGAAUCUUGCUGUUGCCAGCAAUGCGGACUCCUCGGGUGAGGUGCACUGGUGCAUUUCGUCUGUUAUACUCUGCAUCAGGCUCUCCAGCUUGAAGUCAGUAGUCUGACUGUCCACCAUAUCCAGUUGGCCUUUAUAUGGCUAGGCAAAAAAGCACUAUCCGCGGUGGCCGUAAGACCACGCUCAGCGUGCAGCUGACGUUGAACAGCUGCGACGUUUGGACAUUUACGCUUAAUUACCACCCCUUAUUUGUGCGCUCCACAUGGUGCAUGUGGGCCUGUUGCUGUCAUGUAUCUGCAUGUUAUGCCGGUUGCAGAGACCCGCUGGCUGAUCGUUUAAACUGCUUGUAAUGAAAGUCUACUGCUCUCCUGUUUGUAAUGAAACUGUGACAUGCCGUGGCAAGUCACAACCAUCUCUUCCGCACCGCUACUGUCUGGAAUGCCUUGCCCGCAGACCUGAGAGCCACAGCCUCGCAGUCCCUGUUUCACAGUCACAUUUGCACGCACUUCUCUGACACCAAACACAAUGCCACUCCUCACUGACAUGCCUCUGUCCUCCUUCUUUGAGCGUUGCGCUUAUUCUUAUUAAUUUUUGUGUUUCUGUUUCGGUACAUUUCGUAUUUCAAGGCAUAUCCCGAGGCUAUAGGUAUCAUUGAGUAAAGGACCAUUCUGGAACAUUCAGCAUAAUUGUAUUUCUCUUGCUAGGCUGUUCAUUACGAAUCAUUAGCCCUCCACUGUCUGCUAUCUCAACCCUACAGCCUCCCAUUAUAAUGGAACUCCCUUCAAUUUAGA